UCCUCUCAAAGGUCUCGCUUCUGUUUUUGAGGCUUAUUCCCCUCUUGAUCGAUUAGUGGUCUUCUGUUCACAGAGUUUCUUGCCUGUAGAGUAGCCAUUGGGUUAGUUAGUUAAUUAGUUAAUGAAUACACCGAAGGCUAGAAGAAGAAACUGUUCUCAUUUAGAAGACUGAAGGGGGUAAGAGGCAUGGUUUGUGUGUGGGAGCCGCCGACCGAGGAGGUCAAGCAGCUGUACAAGUGGGUAGAAAUGGUGCGGGAGACCAUUAUUUGCCACCGCCACAGAGGAGGUCUCCGGAGGAAAACGUCCCUUUUAGGCUGGCUGUAGCUGUGAUCCAUGCCUUCUUCGCUUUGGGGCCCGAGGCUGAAGAAGGAGCCCCACAUGGAACAUUGCUGAUCUUUCUGGCAUAGGAAACAAGAGAAGGAGAACAGAAGGUUUCAGAUAGAAGCUGCUGCUUAAGCCUUGGUCCUGGAAGGAAGAUGAUGUGGAACCCCAGAGCUCAAAGCAAGACAAAGACCCUGCCGAGUGAACCACUGUGGUUCUGGGAUGGUUUGGAGAGGCAGCAUGACUUAGUCUAAACAGAAUGAUACAGUUUUCAGAGCUUUCCAUUUCUUUUUCUAUUCCAGCUCUCUCUCAUGGUCAGUCUCUAAUGCCAUGAAGCUACAUGAAGAGCCACUGGUAUGUUGGAUUAGCGGAUGCUGCAGCAUUUGAUAUAGCGAUAAUGAUACCAAAAUGUCUUGCCUCCUAUCUUUUGGGCCAGAGACUCUUAAUCCAGAGAAGUAGGCUGCUGAAAGAAGUUGGAGGAACCAGAGAUUAAUAAUCAGAUGAACAGCUAUGAGCUACACGCUUUCUUUUUGAGCCAUGCCCAUCUGUUGCUGGGGGCGUCUUCUUCCUCUAAACAGGAAACAACGGAAGAUGAAAGGAGGUUUUCAAAAGCUUUAUUUUUAAUGCAGCAUCAUUAUGACAGAUUUUCAAAUACCGACUGGAAUAUUUUAAAAGCUAAACUGCCUAAGAAUGGGCCAAAAGAAAAGCCCUGUUGGAUUCUGAUACUUUUCUGAAAAGUUCGCCUGAAUGAAUAGGAAGUCAAACAGCUGGUGCUACAGGAUCCAGUAAAACCACACAAAAGCUGAGGGAAAUUAUGUUGUCUUCCUUUGAUUUAUGAUUUUGAAACAUCUUUUCAGGAGGAGAAAUCAAUCCCACAAAGCAUUGAAGUUCAGAAAUAAUUAGGCAUUUUGAAUUUUUGCAAAAGCCACAGAAAAGAGAUCCACAUUUACAUAAAAUGGCGCAGCAUGUAGAGAAAGCCUGGUUUCUGCAGAAAAUCCCUCCUACAGGAAAGCAUUCAAUUCCAAGUUGACUUCCAAUUGCUCCCCCACCCCCCACAUAAAAUGCACAAAAAAAUCUCUCGGAAUAUAUUGUGAGAUUUAGAUUUUUAUAUAUUCUUUUACCAUGUAUUUAAGAAAUCUGUCAC